rnacentral:rRNA from 1 species
GACGAACGCUGGCGGCGUGCUUAACACAUGCAAGUCGAACGGAAAGGCCCUGCGUUUGUGGGGUGCUCGAGUGGCGAACGGGUGAGUAACACGUGAGUAAACUGUCCUUGACUUACGGAUAACUUCAGGAAACUGGGGCUAAUACCGGAUAGGAGCUCCUGCAGCACGGUGGGGGUUGGAAAGUUUCGGCGGUUGGGGAUCGACUCGCGGCUUAUCAGCUUGUUGGUCGGGUAGUGGCUUACCAAGGCUGUGACGGGUAGCCGGCCUGAGAGGGUGACCGGCCACAUUGGGACUGAGAUACGGCCCAGACUCGUACGGGAGGCAGCAGGGGGGAAUAUUGCACAAUGGGCGGAAGCCUGAUGCAGCAACGCCGCGUGCGGGAUGACGUCCUUCGGGUUGUAAACCGAUUUCGCCUGUGACGAAGCGUGAGUGACGGUAAUGGGUAAAGAAGCACCGGCUAACUACGUG